rnacentral:rRNA from 1 species
GAUGAACGCUGGCGGCGUGCCUAAUACAUGCAAGUCGAGCGAACAGACGAGGAGCUUGCUCCUCUGACGUUAGCGGCGGACGGGUGAGUAACACGUGGAUAACCUACCUAUAAGACUGGGAUAACUUCGGGAAACCGGAGCUAAUACCGGAUAAUAUAUUGAACCGCAUGGUUCAAUAGUUAAAGACGGUUUUGCUGUCACUUAUAGAUGGAUCCGCGCCGCAUUAGCUAGUUGGUAAGGUAACGGCUUACCAAGGCAACGAUGCGUAGCCGACCUGAGAGGGUGAUCGGCCACACUGGAACUGAGACACGGUCCAGACUCCUACGGGAGGCAGCAGUAGGGAAUAUUCGGCAAUGGGCGAAAGCCUGACGGAGCAACGCCGCGUGAGUGAUGAAGGUCUUCGGAUCGUAAAGCCCUGUUAUUAGGGAAGAACAAAUGUGUAAGUAACUAUGCACGUCUUGACGGUACCCAAACAGAAAGCAACGGCUAACUACGUG